rnacentral:lncRNA from 1 species
CAGCCUCCAGAGUAGCUGGAACUACAGACACAUACUACCGUGCCCAGGUGGUAUCAGAAGCGGGAUCCAAAACGGAGCUUCUAGCAAACUCCUGGAGUGCCGAGUGAACACACAAGGUACCAGCAGAACCGACUUGUGUCCACGGAUCUCUCAGAGCGGCUGGGGAUGGUGGGUAAGUUCACUCU